GCGCGCUCCUGAUGUCGGAGGCGCCCACUCUGCCGGGCGGCGGCGGCGCACACGCGCGUGCACGUCGCUGCGUGGCCGCGGUUGCGCCGGGAGCGGAGGAGUGAGGUCCUGACAGAACCAGAGCUGUUAGAGCAGGGACGCGCGAAAGGCGGGAGUACGGGCGGCGCUGGAGAACCUCCGCGGCGGAGGGGCCUGGGGGUGGGACCGCGCCCGCGAGCCCGCCCUGACCGGGGUGUCUGUGUGCUUGUGAAGCGCUCCCUUGUUAGUUCCUUCUGUGAGACUCGGGGGAGACUGAAGAGGGAAAUCACCUGCGGGGAAUGAACAGGAAAGCAAUAAGAAGAUUUGGAAAAGAGGCACUGGCUACUGGAGGAAGGGAGAAAUCACCGAGAGAGCGAAAGAUGUAACAGAAACAGGCUCUUGUUCUGUCACCCAUACUUGGAGUGCAGUGGUACAAUGAUAGCUCACUGCAGCCUCAAACUCCUGGUCUCAAGCAAUCCUCUCACCUCAGCCUCCCAGAUGCAGUGACUCAUGCCUAUAAUCCCAGUACUUUGGAAGGUCAAGGCACAAGGAUCCAUUGAGGCCAGGAGUCCAAGACCAGCCUGCACAAUGUAGCAAGACUCCUUCUCUACAAAAAAAUAAAUAAAAAUUAGCCAGGCAUGGUGGUGCACUCCUGUAGUCCCAGCUACUCAAGAGGCUGAUGUAGAGAAUCGCAUUAUCCCAGAGGUCAAGGCUGCAGUGAGCCGUGAUCAUGCCUCUGCACUCCAGCCUGGACGAUAGAGCAAGACUUUAUCUCAAAAAACAAAAAUUUAAAAAGAUAUCAGGUAGCUCAUAGAAUUGUUGAGAGGGCUGUAAAACCAGGCUUGAACUUAAACAGCAACGAUAAACCACCCACAGAACGGACAUGAUGAAGAAGUUGGCAAAUGUUACCAACUGUCCUGGUUUUUUUGGUGACUGUAGUUUCCAAGGAUUCAGAUCCUUCCAUGCCAAAAUCUGAAAAAUGCUGGGCAAAGUAUGACUGACAAUGUGGUAAUCUUACAGCUAGCACUAGAGACAUCAAGCACUAGACAACACAAUUUGCCCUUUGGCCACUUAUACAAUGGGAACUCACGCUUGCAGUAACCUCUAUUGCCACUAGGAGAGAGAAACACAGAAGGAGGAAGGGAGAAGGGAGAGAGAGGAAAAAAACUGUUGCUUGUCUCCUUAGCUGUGAGUCAAAGGUCUAACACAGAUGUCUGGCUGAAAAGCCUAGGUCACAUGCCUGCACCCCAGAGAAAGUAUGUGACAUCUUCUGCUUCCAUUAUGGGAAACAGCCUUUGCUUGUCACGAAGAUUUACAUGGUGAGACAUAUCCUAAAUAUAGGGAAGCUGUUGAAGUGGCCCAAAUAAUGACCAAUUUCUACUAAUUUGUACUAAUAUCCAAAUUACUUUUAAUUAUCUAAUAUUACUUAGAUACAGUGAGGCAACCAUUCGUUGGAUAUAUAAUGGUUUCUUUGAUUUCAAAAAUCUUUUUUUAUGUAAUAUAUGUCUGAAGACCAUCAAAAUAAAUUCUUAAAGUCAGAUUAAUAGGAUGUUACUUAUAAUAUUAUUGUAAUUAUUUGACCACAUAAUAGUUUAUGCCCAUUAUAUACUAUGUAAUUGUAUGAUGGAAAUAAUGCUGUACUUUGUUUGUAAAAGUUUAAUUAUCCUGACCUUUGUUCAUCAUAAAGAAUUGCUCCAUUUCUAUUAUUUAUCGAGGAAAAAAGUUUCUCUCUUUUUGUUUUUAAUAUGUCAUUAGGAGAAGAGUAGUUACACGUAGGCUAGAGUGUUUGCCAAGAAGAAAUUGAUUUUAAUGGGAACCUUUUAUCUAAGACAAACUUUAAGAAGAGCAGUAAUGGACAAUGUGUUCUGUGCAACUCUUCAGCCUUCAGUCUCACAUUCAUUGUGGUCAAGUAUUUUCAGCAAAGAAUAACAAGUCAGAGUUUGUGUAUAUUUUUCAUAGCUGUUCAUUCUCUUACAGAGUAACCUUGAACAAACCUCUUAAGAUUUGUGUUUUAUCUUCAUAUACUGAAAUACAAAAUGGGAAUGCCUAUAUUUAAUCAAAGAUAUAAUUUUUACUGAUAGAUAGUAAAGAACAAAACACUGGAACAAGAAUUCCUGUCCUGCCUUUCACAAUGUGGUUUUGAGGCCUUGGCCAUGUCACUUAAAUUCUCAUAUCUGUUUUCUCAAUCUAUAAAUGAUCAUAAUACCUGCACUAUCUGUCUCAAAUUGCAUAUGUGAAAGCAUCUUAAAGGUACAAAACAAUAAAUACAAAGCAUUAUUAUUAAAUUAUUACACCUUCCAGCAUUUAAUGCUAAAAAUGCCAAAUGCGUCCUUUGGUUAUAUGUAGGAAAUAUGUCUCAGAAAAAUCAAUUUAAAAUUAUAGAAGCUAACAGGUAAGUCAUUUUAAGUGUGUGGUUAUCUUCUGCAUGGCAGAUUUUUAAAUGGUAAUUAUUAAUGAAGUUUUCCUAUACUUACUGUUUCCAAGACUCCAUUCUUUCCAAAGUUUUCUGAGUUAUGCUUAUCAUCCCUUAAGUCUUAGGGAUGCUCUUCUGAGCUUUUGG
rnacentral:lncRNA from 1 species